GCCUGGGUGGCUCAGUCGGUUGAGCAUCUGACUUCGGCUCAGGUCAUGAUCUUGUGGUUUGUGGGUUCAAGCCCAGUGACAGGCU
rnacentral:tRNA from 1 species